rnacentral:rRNA from 1 species
AGAGUUUGAUCCUGGCUCAGAUUGAACGCUGGCGGAAUGCUUUACACAUGCAAGUCGAACGGCAGCACGGGAGCUUGCUCCUGGUGGCGAGUGGCGAACGGGUGAGUAACAUAUCGGAACAUAUCCUAUCGUGGGGGAUAACUAGUCGAAAGACUAGCUAAUACCGCAUACGUCCUGAGGGAGAAAGCGGGGGCUCGCAAGACCUCGCGCGAUUGGAGUGGCCGAUAUCUGAUUAGCUAGAUGGUGAGGUAAAAGCUCACCAUGGCGACGAUCAGUAGCUGGUCUGAGAGGAUGAUCAGCCACACUGGGACUGAGACACGGCCCAGACUCCUACGGGAGGCAGCAGUGGGGAAUUUUGGACAAUGGGCGAAAGCCUGAUCCAGCCAUUCCGCGUGAGUGAAGAAGGCCUUCGGGUUGUAAAGCUCUUUCGGCAGGAACGAAACGG